GCGAAAGUAGUUCAGUGGGGAGAGCGUUAGACUGAAAAUCUAAAGGUCCCUGGCUCAAUCUGAGGCUUUGGUG
rnacentral:tRNA from 1 species